rnacentral:SRP_RNA from 1 species
GCCGGGCGUGGUGGCGCACGCCUCUAAUCCCAGCACUUGGGAGGCAGAGGCAGGUGGAUUUCUGAGUUCGAGGCCAGCCUGGUCUACAGACUGAGUUCCAGGACAGCCAGGGCUACACAGAGAAACCCUGUCUUGAAAAAACAAAACAAAACAACAACAAAAAAGGCAGGGUUUCUUUGUGUAGCCUAGCUGUCUGUUAACUCACUCUGUAGACCAGGCUGACCUCAAAUUCAGAGAUUGGACCUGCAAUUU